rnacentral:rRNA from 1 species
GAUGAACGCUGGCGGCGUGCCUAAUACAUGCAAGUCGAGCGAACGGACGAGAAGCUUGCUUCUCUGAUGUUGGCGGCGGACGGGUGAGUAACACGUGGAUAACCUACCUAUAAGACUGGGAUAACUUCGGGAAACCGGAGCUAAUACCGGAUAAUAUUUUGAACCGCAUGGUUCAAAAGUGAAAGACGGUCUUGCUGUCACUUAUAGAUGGAUCCGCGCUGCAUUAGCUAGUUGGUAAGGUAACGGCUUACCAAGGCAACGAUGCAUAGCCGACCUGAGAGGGUGAUCGGCCACACUGGAACUGAGACACGGUCCAGACUCCUACGGGAGGCAGCAGUAGGGAAUCUUCCGCAAUGGGCGAAAGCCUGACGGAGCAACGCCGCGUGAGUGAUGAAGGUCUUCGGAUCGUAAAACUCUGUUAUUAGGGAAGAACAUAUGUGUAAGUAACUGUGCACAUCUUGACGGUACCUAAUCAGAAAGCCACGGCUAACUACGUGCCAGCAGCCGCGGUAAUACGUAGGUGGCAAGCGUUAUCCGGAAUUAUUGGGCGUAAAGCGCGCGUAGGCGGUUUUUUAAGUCUGAUGUGAAAGCCCACGGCUCAACCGUGGAGGGUCAUUGGAAACUGGAAAACUUGAGUGCAGAAGAGGAAAGUGGAAUUCCAUGUGUAGCGGUGAAAUGCGCAGAGAUAUGGAGGAACACCAGUGGCGAAGGCGACUUUCUGGUCUGUAACUGACGCUGAUGUGCGAAAGCGUGGGGAUCAAACAGGAUUAGAUACCCUGGUAGUCCACGCCGUAAACGAUGAGUGCUAAGUGUUAGGGGGUUUCCGCCCCUUAGUGCUGCAGCUAACGCAUUAAGCACUCCGCCUGGGGAGUACGACCGCAAGGUUGAAACUCAAAGGAAUUGACGGGGACCCGCACAAGCGGUGGAGCAUGUGGUUUAAUUCGAAGCAACGUGAAGAACCUUACCAAAUCUUGACAUCCUUUGACAACUCUAGAGAUAGAGCCUUCCCCUUCGGGGGACAAAGUGACAGGUGGUGCAUGGUUGUCGUCAGCUCGUGUCGUGAGAUGUUGGGUUAAGUCCCGCAACGAGCGCAACCCUUAAGCUUAGUUGCCAUCAUUAAGUUGGGCACUCUAAGUUGACUGCCGGUGACAAACCGGAGGAAGGUGGGGAUGACGUCAAAUCAUCAUGCCCCUUAUGAUUUGGGCUACACACGUGCUACAAUGGACAAUACAAAGGGCAGCGAAACCGCGAGGUCAAGCAAAUCCCAUAAAGUUGUUCUCAGUUCGGAUUGUAGUCUGCAACUCGACUACAUGAAGCUGGAAUCGCUAGUAAUCGUAGAUCAGCAUGCUACGGUGAAUACGUUCCCGGG